GCUUGCUUUGCUUAAACCAGCUCGGCCUUUGCUUUUUUGCAGCGGGGUAUAUAUCUUCGCUAUAUAUACAACUCCUCUCCUGCUCCGCUCUUCAAGCCCACCCAGAGCUCUGUAGAAGAGAGGGGAGGAAGGACCGAGGACCAACCGGAGCCCCACUCGGCCGCCGCCUCUCACCUCCACCGACUGCCUGCGUCCCACCGCUCCUGCUGCCGCCCGUUGCUCUCGCCAUUGAAGCCCUCGCCGCCUCCGCCCGCUUGCCCGCCCUCCCGUCGGCUGCCUUCCGGAUGAGAAGCGGCGCAACCUGGGCGGUGGAAGCGUGGUCGGACUGAGCCUUCGUGGGGGUUAGCGCCGAGAAGGAUCCUGGAGAUUAAGCGCAUGGGUUCCUUGGAGGCCCGGUACAGGCCGACCGGGGCAGCUGAGGACACAGCUAAGCGAAGGACCCAGAAAAGCAAAAGUUUCAAAGAGGUUGAGAAAUUUGAUGUUUUUGUGCUGGAGAAAAGUUCUGGUUGCAAAUUCCGGUCGUUGCAACUUUUGCUCUUCGCUAUCAUGUCUGCUGCGUUUCUAACACUCCUAUACACACCAUCUGUGUAUGAACAUCAGUUGCAGUCAAGCUCUCGGCUUGUCAAUGGGUGGAUAUGGGAUAAGAGGAGUUCUGAUCCCCGAUAUAUAUCUUCUGCCAGCAUUCAAUGGGAGGAUGUAUAUAAAAGCAUGCAAAAUCUGAAUGUUGGUGAACAAAAGCUCAGUGUUGGACUCCUGAAUUUUAACAGGACUGAGUUCAGUGCUUGGACACAUAUGCUCCCAGAAAGUGAUUUUUCAGUCAUAAGGCUAGAGCAUGCCAAUGAAAGCAUCACCUGGCAAACUCUGUAUCCUGAAUGGAUAGAUGAGGAGGAAGAAACAGAGAUACCAUCUUGUCCUUCGCUUCCAGAUCCUAGUUUUUCAAGAGCGACACACUUUGAUGUUGUUGCUGUUAAGCUUCCCUGUACUCGUGUGGCGGGUUGGUCAAGAGAUGUUGCAAGGCUGCAUCUGCAGUUGUCAGCAGCAAAAUUAGCAGCAGCCACAGCAAGAGGCAAUAGAGGAAUCCAUGUGCUGUUUGUGACUGAUUGCUUCCCAAUUCCAAACCUCUUCUCUUGCAAGGACCUAGUGAAACGUGAAGGCAAUGCUUGGAUGUACAAACCUGACGUGAAGGCUCUAAAGGAGAAGCUCAGGCUGCCUGUUGGUUCCUGUGAGCUUGCUGUUCCACUCAACGCAAAAGCACGACUCUACACGGUAGACAGACGCAGAGAAGCAUAUGCUACAAUACUGCAUUCAGCAAGUGAAUAUGUUUGCGGUGCGAUAACAGCAGCUCAAAGCAUUCGUCAAGCAGGAUCAACAAGGGACCUUGUUAUUCUUGUUGAUGACACCAUAAGCGACCACCACCGCAAGGGGCUGGAAUCUGCUGGGUGGAAGGUUAGAAUAAUACAGAGGAUCCGGAAUCCCAAAGCCGAGCGUGAUGCCUACAACGAAUGGAACUACAGCAAAUUCCGGCUGUGGCAGCUUACAGAUUAUGACAAGGUCAUUUUCAUUGAUGCUGAUCUGCUCAUCCUGAGGAACAUUGAUUUCUUGUUUGCAAUGCCGGAAAUCACCGCAACUGGGAACAAUGCAACACUCUUCAACUCUGGAGUGAUGGUCAUUGAGCCUUCAAACUGCACGUUCCAGUUACUGAUGGAGCACAUCAACGAGAUAACAUCUUACAACGGUGGUGACCAAGGGUACCUGAAUGAGAUAUUCACAUGGUGGCACCGGAUUCCAAAGCACAUGAAUUUCUUGAAGCAUUUCUGGGAGGGUGACGAGGACGAAGUGAAGGCCAAGAAGACUCGGCUGUUCGGCGCCAACCCACCGAUCCUCUACGUUCUCCACUACUUGGGGCGGAAGCCAUGGCUGUGCUUCCGGGACUACGAUUGCAACUGGAACGUUGAGAUCUUGCGGGAGUUUGCGACUGAUGUUGCGCACGCCCGCUGGUGGAAGGUGCACAACAAGAUGCCGAAGAAGCUUCAGAGCUAUUGCCUCCUGAGGUCAAGGCUGAAGGCUGGGUUGGAGUGGGAGCGGCGGCAGGCCGAGAAGGCGAACUUCACCGACGGGCAUUGGAAACGGAACAUAACCGAUCCGAGGCUGAAGACUUGCUUCGAGAAGUUCUGCUUCUGGGAGAGCAUGCUAUGGCACUGGGGCGAGAACAAGAACAACUCGACGCAGAGCAGCGCGGUGCCGGCAACACCUGCCGCGACGAGCCUGUCGAGCUCGUGAGGCCUGUUGUGUAGAUACAGCUUUGUUGAGAGUAGUAUACCAGAUACGAAACUUCUGAAGCUCCUCCAUACAUACAUAGCAACAGCUCUGUAAAGCACUCGUGUUUGUUUCUGGUCGUGUGCCACCAAGCCAUGGACGCAAUGCAAGCGUUCAAAUGCCGUGCCUCCCUGCGUCGUACUGGCACAGAGCAAGCAUCAUCAUUGCGUCCAUCGAGAGCUUUGGUUCCGUGCACUGCUGCUGUUGCGCCAAAGAACGAGACGCAUCAUUGCCCGGAUCCAUGAUCUCGUGGUGCUGUCGAGUUCCUUGGAGGUGCGGUCUUUUGCAGCUCAUCAGCCUGCUCGCUUUUCCAGCAGCGGCACACCUAAAAAGCACAGGGAUAGGCUGUAUCUGCGUGCGACCUCGCUCCGGCGGUGCCGUCGCUUCGCCUGAGACAGAGACACUGUACGUACACCUGGUUGGGUCCUUCCCUUGUCGCUCACGAUUGGAGUAGUUGGAUGUUUGCGUUGCAAGUGACUGAGAUUAGGUUUU